rnacentral:rRNA from 1 species
UCCGUAGGCGUGCGUCUAAGUCAGUGGUGAAAUCUUACAGCUCAACUGUAAAAUUGCCAUUGAUACUGGAUGUCUUGAAUUAGUGUGAAGUGGUUAGAAUGUGUAGUGUAGCGGUGAAAUGCAUAGAUAUUACACAGAAUACCAAUUGCGAAGGCAGAUCACUAACACUAUAUUGACGCUGAGGGACGAAAGCGUGGGGAGCGAACAGGAUUAGAUACCCUGGUAGUCC